AAAUAUAUAGCUACCAGUAACCUGAAUGCUAAAAAGAACUGGGAGUAAGUAAUUGGUUUCAGCCAUAUGAGAAAUAUGCUGUGAUAGUAAAGUAUUAAAUUAUGCAAGCACUACAGAAAUAGGGAAAAAUCAGGUUGAUAGGAGAUCUGAACAACUGAACAGAUAUCAAAUUAUCUUCAGACUAGUGAACCAAGAUAACAUAUUCUCCUCAGAGACUUGCAGGCUUGGGAGGCAAACAGUCCCACCCCGGUAUUCUGUAUGUUUCAAGCACUUUGGAAGCUGACACCAAGCUGGUCCCCACUACCUCUCUCAGCUCACAGCUGCCAGUUGAGAAGGUCUCAGAUCCCAAUGUCUCACUCUCCUAUUCAGUUUUUAAUGUCUCAAAGAAGUAAUCUGGGUUCCCAGUCCUCAAGGCAGAGAAACCUCCCUCCCAAAUCGUCCCAAUAUUCCUCCUUAAAUAAGCAAAGACACACAAGCUGGCCAUCUUCCAAGAAGCAAUGAACAACUCUAAAUAGAAUCAGUAAUUAAUGGGUUUUUUUUCUAUGCAUCUUAAUGGGAAAGAGAAAAAGUCAGAUGUGUUCGCCUCUUGAAUGGACACUAGGGCACAGUUGAGAGAGCAAGAGCAAGAAGCAAGUCAGCACCUUGGCUUUUCCUCGUGGGAGGAGGAGCACUAGGAUCCCUAGCCCACACUAUCUAGCAAUAGGCAGAAGCCUGCGGGCCCCAAGGCGGCAGCAGGUUGAAACAGGCUAGUGGCAGGGAGAAUAUCAGACCAAAACAGGCUUGUUGGGUGGGCAGGAUAGUGAGGCUGCUGGAGAGAAAAGAAACAGCGAAUAGCUGAGAAGAGGCUGGGGGAGAUAGAGAAUCACAUAUUUAUGUUCAAAAAGAUUUCAGUGGAGCUCCGAAAGACAGAAAGGCAGGUGGGUCACAGAGACACAGAAAGGAAAAAAAUAUCCUUUUAUGAGAAGAAGAGGUGUUAAGAAGCAAACAGCCAAGCUGGGAAGAAGAGAUUGUCUCUGAACUCAGCAGAGUGUGUGGGCACAGAAGACUGAUAGCAAACAAGUAAACACAGUUCACAACUGUGGCAGCUGAAGGAGCAAAAUCUGCUCAGUGACAAGCAUGAGCACUGUUCCACAGACCUGUGACCAGGAGCUGAGAACAGGUGCAAAGAAAGAACGAUGCCUUCAGGGGAAAAGCCUACUUCUGUGUGCACUUCUUCUCAGUACUCUCCUUGGCUUUACACUGCUCAUCACCUACCUCGUGAUGACUUGUGCUCUAGGAUCCUGUGAUGCUGUGUCAGAUCCUGCUCUGUUGGAAAGACUUCUGAAUUCUAGGAAUGACACUGUUAACCCCUGUGAGAACUUCUACAAAUAUGCCUGUGGCAGAUGGGAAGGCAAACAGUCAAGCAGAACCCGAGAAGAAUCACUAAACGUAUUUGAUGUGUUGUUGGAAGAAAACCUGUUGAUCGUGAAAAGGCUUUUAGAAAGUCCACAGUCUGGGAUAAGAGGCUCAGCCAAGGAGAAAGCAAUACAAUUUUAUCGUUCCUGCAUGGAUACUGAACGAAUAGAAUCCCAAGGAGCUCAGCCAUUGAAGGACCUCCUAAAUGAGGUUGGUGGAUGGCAUAACACAAUUGUGGGGGAAACAAAAGAUUUUAAUGAAACUCUUCAGAUUCUCAUGAGCAGAUACAGCACUUUUCCAUUUUUUAGAGUCCAUGUGGGACCUACUCCUUUUGACCCCAAUACCAAUAUUAUUCAGAUUGACCAUCCUGAGUUUGAUAUUCCACUUGAGAGUGAAUUCAAAGAGAACAAUUAUCUUGAGGUUCUCCGUGUGUAUCUUUCGUAUUUGAAGAAAUUGGGGGUCCUACUUGGAAGGUCAGAGGAUGGUCCCCCUGACUCCUUUUCCCUGACGUUGUCCUUCAUUUCUAACCUCCAGCGAUUUGUCACUCCACUGCAGAAAAGACAGCAGAGGGGGAUGCUGUUCUUUCACACUACCAUUAGGGAGCUACAGGAAAAGGCACCUGCAAUUGACUGGCUGGCGUGUCUCAAGGCAGUUUUCCAUCCUGUGCCAAUGAACCUCUCUCAGCCAGUUGCAGUGCAUGACAUGGAUUACUUAAGCAACAUGUCACAGCUCAUCGAGAGAUGGCACAAGGGAAGCAUUCAGUUCCAUCUUCACACACAGGUCCUUCACAUUUACAUGAUUGUUUGUCUGGUUGGGAAUCUCUCCCCAGCCCUUGACAGUCAAUUCCAAGAUGCGCGCCUGGAGCUGUAUAAGAUCCUUUAUGGAAAAAUGGGAUCUAGAAUGAUCCCAGCUGAGCGCUGGAGGAAGUGCUUGACUGAUACCAGCUCUUUCUUUGAGCCAGUCCUAGGGAAGAUGAUCGUGCAAGAAAUUUUUCCUGAGCAGACCAAGAAAUUUGCUGAGCAGAUGUUCUCUGUGAUCCAAGAUGCCCUCUGUGACCGCCUGGAUCAGGUGGAGUGGAUGGAUGAAAAGACUCGCCGAAAAGCUAAAGCUUUGGUAUCCAAACUACAAGUGGAGAUUGGUUAUCCAGCUCACAUACUCCAGACUGACAAAGUGAACCUGGAAUACCAGAAUCUGGAGAUAAAUGAAGACACUUUUUUCCUCAAUGUGGUGGCUUGCUUGAAAGUACUGAGGGAAAAUUCCUACCUGAAGCUCCUUCAGCAUAACCCACAGAAAAACUGGCAUGUGCACCCCUGGAGUGUGCAUUCAUACUAUUCAAUAAGCCACCACAUGGUGGUCUUUCCGGCUGGAAUGUUCCGCAGUCCUUUUUUCCACAUGGAGUUUCCCAGCGCUGUGAAUUUUGGAGCCAUCGGGGUCUUCAUGGCACAUGAAAUUCUUCACUCAUUCUAUGGUUAUGUGCUGCCUGAGGGCUGUCCUGCAUGCAACAGGAGUGCACUACAAAGCUCUAUAGACUGUUUGGUUGAGCAGUAUGAAAGCUACAGCUUUAAUGUCAAUGGCACCUUCACACUGUUGGAGAAUACAGCUGACACUGGAGGGCUCGCCAUCGCCUACCAGGCCUAUAAGAAUUGGCUGAAAAAGCACAAAGAAGAGGGUUUACCUAAGAUUGGACUUUCACACGAUCAACUUUUCUACCUCAGUUUUGCUCAUGCAAUGUGUGGACACCAGGACCCAGAAAAGCUCCAGUCUUCCCUGAACACAGAUCCACACAGUCCCUUGCCACUUCGUGUCUCUGGGCCUGUCAGCAAUAGCCAGGACUUUUCCAAGAGCUUCCAGUGUCCCAGUGGAUCCCUGAUGAACCCAGAUAAGAAAUGCCGCAUCUGGUAGUGCACAUGGAAGAGGAGGAAGAGAGAUGUUAUCCCAGGGAGAGGAAGGCCUGACACAUGAAAAUAUGACCAUCUUCUCAGGGCCUCUAGGGUGACAUUGUGCUCUUAUUCACUCCUUUUCCUUCCUUUUCUUGUUAUCCUUUCCUCAGCAUUUGAUGGCAGGGAAAUUCUUAAACUGAUCUCAUAAGGAAGGAAUCUCCUCCAAGGCUCUCAGUCCCAGAUGUGUGACAAGUCCCAGGGCAACAAGGUGACUGGCCAGUUCCUAGUAGGCAGCAGCUUGUGAGGAGUUGUAAAUAGAAAGACUGUUACAUUAUUAGUCUCUCUGUUUAGUGCAUUUACCUGUCUGCCUCAGCAGCCUCACAGUCCUGUAGAAAGGGCAAGUCAAUAAACAGGAGCUGUAAGACUUGUUCAUAUCUUAAAAUAGCUCUUGGGGAAAUCCUAUGGGUUACUGUGCAAACCACAUGUAACUUACAAGAGAGGGAAGAAUUCUCUUAUUUUGCUAAUAAAUGGAGACAGGUGCUAGGAAAGACUUAGUGGCUGCAGCUUGUAGGCUGAAAGGUAAGUAACUUAAUAAUGAAGUUUACUGGAGGCCUUCUCUGCUCUGUUUUUGUUUCAUCAGCAAAACUCAAACAUAAGGGGAAAGAGGAAACUCCCCCUUUAAUGGGAGGAUAAUUGGGCAGCUGAGAACAGAUUAUCUUUCUUUUCCAACAAGAUCUUUUUUUAAGUGUCUAGGGUUGAGGAUAUGGUAGAGGAUGCAGUAUGGGAGAGUUACAAAGGUUUCUAGAAGUUUUUGAAGGUUGAACAACUAGAACUCAAAAAGCUUCUCAGCAUCCUGAACCUGGUCCUCUCCCUACAAUUGUAAAUAUUUACCAUCCAAGCAGAGACAUGGAGCUGUUGCAGGAUUUUACUUUCUACUUGAAAUUGAAUUUUAGGUGUUAUUUUGCUUUAGAGCAAAAACAGAGUAAGAAACAACAUGAUUUGGAGUAGCAGAAGUGUCUAAACUACAUUCUUAACAACAAUGUAAUAAUUACAUCUAUUUCAGAGUUUCAUAAUUAGAAAAUUUAUAUCAAUGUUCUAAACUUUACUGAUGUUAAUAAGUAUACAAAAUACUUAUACCUUUUGCAUACUCUUCAAACUGUUCUUGUUUAUGGGAACAUUUUUAUUUUACUUAUUAUAUUGGCUGCCUGGGGAUUGUUUGUGGAAUAGAUGAUGGCAAGUGGAAAUAUCCCUUAUCAAUGUAAGCAUUUUAAAAAUAACUGUGCUAAUCCUAUUCAAGUACUGACAAAUACAGCAAAAUGUUUCCCAAGAACGGACUGUUCAGAGAUUUUGUUUUCAUUAAUUAACAAAAAUAGUAAUAAAGUGUUUGCUUCUGAAAAAAAAACCAAAAACAAUUACUUUGACUGCAAAAGCUUUAUCAUCAGGCCUGUAUCUUUUUUUCUGUAUUUGUACUGUUCACAACUUGUCUGAUGCUCUUAGCUGGACUUCACAAGUAAUAAAUAAAAAUACCUCAAAAUAAUUUGAUUUAUUUACCAUCAUAAAAAUAACAAAAGUAGGCUUGUUCUUAUCAUUACCAUUUAAACAGUGUAUACUCUUCCUUCCCUUCACUCAUUCAAUUAUUUUCUCCUAGCAGCAUGUCCAGACAGGUUUUUUUAAGAUGCUAAUAGCAAAUAACAUUGCAUAACACUAAGUGUAUAAUAUAGACAUAAUUUCAGUGUUCUGAGUCUACUUGAUUUCUGUGUUUAUUGUGUUUAAAAAAAGCAAAAGGUACUGACAAUAUGCAUUUUGAGGAGUAUAACUGUUCUUGUACCUAUCUUGUUAAGUGUAUGGGUAGGUACUGUUCCCUGGAAUAUGCUUUAUUUUUUCUUGUUCUUUCAAUAUAUGUUGAAUUUAAUUAUAUUCUAUUUAAAAGACAGGGUCACUGGUGAAAUUGGUGAGUUCAAUUCAUUCUUAUUAUUAGCUAUGAUGUUUUUACACAAAGAAUAUAUGGGAAGUGCAAGAAGGGAAGGCUGGCGUAGAAAAAAAUUACUGAGAAUUUAUUGUGUUUCUCAAGAAACAAGAAAGAAGGAAGGAGAAAACACUUUCAGUAUGUGCACAGGGUCCUUGCCCUUAUCUUCAGUGUUCUAGUUCAGUUCCCUGGGAUAUGGUUGGUGAAGAAAAGCUGUAUUGUCCAGAAGGUGAUCAUGAAACAUAGGUAGAUGUUCAAAUUGUCAUCAUUCCUGAUCACAGAAAUUAUUUCAAGCUCUAGCUCAUGCAUAAAGAAACCCAAAAAACAAUCCUGAGGAGAAGAGCCAGAUCCAAGAGCAGAUCUUUCACUGCUGAAUUGCUCAGUAUCUCUGAGCCCUCAUGCUCCACCAUAUCGAUUACCUCCAUUCCUUCCCCUGUUGAUGAGGCCACAAAUGACUCCUCCAUUUCCUCCCAGACUGUAAAUGAGGGGAAAAGGGAACAACAUCAGCUUUCUUCUUGUUCACUUCUUUCAUACAUGAAGCCUUUUUACCACUGUGUCUCUCCUGUUUUAUUCUCUCUGCUUUCUAAACUUUCAAAUUCUCUUCACCUUCACUGUAUGUCCACUUCCUCUUUCAUCAAUGAAAAGCAGCUUUUCAUUCAUACCUGUUCCCUCUCUCUGCUUCUUUUGUCCUUUUCUUGUUUCUGUGUUUCUGGUUUUGACAUAUUUUCUUUUAGUAAUUGCUUUUCCUUCACUACACUUUGCAUCUCAUGUUUUUCUCCUUUCCUGUAUUUUCCAUUACAAAAGUUACCCCAGAUACAUUCUUUUAUCUUUUCAGGGCCAUGACUUUAGCAGUAGGCUGUAAUAGCCCAUAAAAGCCUUGACUGGAGCCUUUACCUAAAUUCCAUGGGUCCGAGAGCUGUAUUUAAGUUUGGGUAUGGGUCUCAGAUCUCUAUUUGUGGUUUGCUGCAAAUAUACUUAUCUCCAGCUCUGUCUCUAUCACAGCUGUGCCUGGACCCUGCUAUUGUGUAUCCUGACCUGCAAACUGACCUCCUGGUUUGACCUUGAAUGUGCAUUGUCACUACAGACUUGCUUGGUAGUCAUGGGACUGUGUCUGACUCUAUUUUCUUUCAUUAUUUCACCCUGGCCUCCAGGCGUGUCCUGGACCUUUCCUUUCAGAUCUCUGUAGGGUGUGAGGGGACAGCUGAGACAGGAGGCUGCAGUCAGAGUUGCAGGUGAUAUAAGAGGCCUUAACAUCUAUGACUGGCCUGAACUUGUGUGUCCCUCAUGUCCUCUGCCCCGAGUGAGAGUAGGGUUGGGCCAUCACUGGACUGUGUCUGACCCUGGGCACCAUCACUAGGUUUGGUCCUCACACUGACUGGUAUUCCUCCUUGAACUUGGACUUGUCUCAACAUCAUGGACCUCCCUGGUGACCUCUUGGCUGACCCUGACUUCCAUCCCAGGCCUGUCCUGUUUAGGCCUGUGGGGUGGCCUUGAUAUCCUACUCCUUUGCAGGCUCCCUAUUCCUUAGGGAUCAUCUGACCUCCACUUCCCCUUGACAUAUAUCUUGUUGUUCCUCCUCUGAUUUUAUUUUUACAACAAGACAUUUUUUUCUUCUGUGUCCACACCUAAUCUCAUUUCCUGCCCUUAGCUGCUCUCCAAGACCCUUAUUUCUCAUCCUCUCUCUCUUCAGCCCAUCCUCUCACCUGCUGUUGGACUGCUUUCCUCUUCCUGUUCAAUCUCGGCAGUGCGAAACAUGCUCUGACUUUUCACUGGUACUGAGCAGUAAGUGGCCGGGAAGAAACUCAUCAGACAGAUGGCAAAACCCAGGAAAAUUAUCAGGGUUGAAUUAAUCCUCAUCCUAUUUUGCUGUCUAGCACAAGACACUUUUGCUCCUUGCUGCUUUUCAGGUAAUGGAGUCUGGAAGUAGCAACCACCACAGUCUUGUUUGUGGCACAUUGUGACAUCAUGACACCAUCUGACAUACAAAGGUGUUGCAUUCUGCUAGGCAGAAACACUGUGGACUUUCACCCUAUGUAGCUAAGAAAACCCCAAAGCAAGGAAAGAGUGUGAAAGCUUUUGGGAAUAUUUUUUUUAAAAGUAUGUCUCUGCUGAAAGAUGCCCCAAAGCCAGGCAUUGAGAUUUCUACACCGGGUCUUAGAUCAGAUUCAGCUUGCUGUCCAAGACAUUCAGCGGUCUUUUUUCCUGCUUGUCUUAAGAAGACUUUAGAUUUGGCCCAGAAAGUGCUCAUUAGAAAUAUACUUCAGGAGGUUAGAAGAUCAAUUUCUCAGGAAUACCCAUUGAGUGGAAUUGUUGAAUGUCACAUUCAACAAAUAAAUAACAUGUUUGGUUGUAAAAUAAA